GUGAUGGUGGUGGAGAUAGGAAAGGGAAGGGCAACCCUGUUGAAGGUCUGGUAAAACUGUGUUUGGGUCUCGCCGAGGAAGCUCUUGAGGACGCAGAUAAGAGAUCGUGGGAUGAUGUUUUCGGACAGCUUGCGCCAAUCUGCGAAGCCAUACUAGAGGAGCUGGAGGAGGAUGACGGAAAUGACAAAGACGAUGGAUCCCGUGGACCAAAACCUAGCGGACCUCCACCUUCCGGACGACCAGAGUCUAAAGAGGACGGCAGACCAAGCGGACCCCCGCCUACAGGUAGCCCAGAUAAACGCGGG